rnacentral:rRNA from 1 species
GACGAACGCUGGCGGCGUGCCUAAUACAUGCAAGUUGAGCGAUGAAGAUUGGUGCUUGCACCAAUUUGAAGAGCAGCGAACGGGUGAGUAACGCGUGGGGAAUCUGCCUUUGAGCGGGGGACAACAGUUGGAAACGAAUGCUAAUACCGCAUAACAACUGUAAACAUAAGUUUUAAGUUUGAAAGAUGCAAUUGCAUCACUCAAAGAUGAUCCCGCGUUGUAUUAGCUAGUUGGUGAGGUAAAGGCUCACCAAGGCGAUGAUACAUAGCCGACCUGAGAGGGCGAUCGGCCACAUUGGGACGGAGACACGGCCCAAAGUCCUACGGGAGGCAGCAGUAGGGAAUCUUCGGCAAUGGAUGAAAGUCUGACCGAGCAACGCCGCGUGAGUGAAGAAGGUUUUCGGAUCGUAAAACUCUGUUGGUAGAGAAGAACGUUGGUGAGAGUGGAAAGCUCAUAAAGUGACGGUAACUACCCAGAAAGGGACGGCUAACUACGUG